UUAUUAAGAUCCACGUGAAAGGUCAUGUGGAUGAUACAAUGCUGAAUAAGGUGGAAUUUACCUUCGCUGCCCGCUAUACAUGUAUAAAAUCAAGAGUAUAGUACAAUCGAAUAAUUUGAAAGUAAUGUUAAUUUAGGAGGAAGUAUUAAUAAUAAGUUAUUAGUUAUGCAAAUUUAAUUAAGGUAACAUUGGGUAAAGAGGAAUGGAUAAUCGACGUGGAACUAGAUUAUAUAAAUUGAAAAAUAUGAAGUUAUUGAAAGAGUUAUUUCCAAUAGAUUAUUACUGCCAUAUGUUUGACUUUUUGUUUUCAUUCAUUCUAAGAAGCACAUCAUAGUAAGUGUCUUGUCCAAGGAGAUUGUUCUGAUUUUAUGGCGGUUUAAGAAACUUAAAUUUCGAGUAUCGAUGAUUAUAAGUUCAGACAAACAAAGAAAAUUCAUAUUGUCCCAUAGAUUAGGACAAAAUACGGAUUUAAAAAGUUCAGAGGAAAUCAAAUUUGGUGUUAGAGUUAAACAGAGAUUGUAUUGGUUAAGGUGGAAAAUAAUUGGUAUUUAGAGUUAACUGUAAAUUUGGGAUUAUAGAUAUUAUUGAAAUUGGCUUUGUAAAAACAAAUUGAGGACUCAGAUUGGCGCUGACGACCGUGUUUUAAAUUAGUUCAAAAAAAUUUAAAUGAUUUAGUUUGAAGGCAAGUUAGGAAUUUUGAGAUGUGACGCUGAAGUAUAUGGAGUGGUAUAAAUACAUUUAGGGAAUUUAUUAAUGUGGAUUAAGGGUGGUUUUAUACGUAGACGUGUAUUGGAUUUUUGUUUUUAUAUUCGUUCUUAGUUUGAAAA
rnacentral:rRNA from 1 species